rnacentral:rRNA from 1 species
GAAGAGAAAACAAUAGUGAUUCCGUGAGUAGUGGCGAGCGAAAGCGGAAGAGGCCAAACCUGGUGUGUGUGAUAGCUGGCAGGCGUUGCAUGCUGGGGGUUGUGGGAGCGAUCAUAUCAAGCUGCCUCUUGGUGAACGAGUGAUAAAAGUGGAUGGAAGUCGAAGUGCCUGGGAAGGUACACCAUAGUGCGUGACAGUCGUGUAGACGUAAAGUCCACUCUCGUGAUCGUUAUCCCAAGUAGCACGGAACCCCUGAAAUUCUGUGUGAAUCUGGCGGGACCACCCGUUAAGCCUAAAUACUCCUUGAUGACCGAUAGCGGACAAGUACCGUGAGGGAAAGGUGAAAA